GGAGAGUUUGAUCCUGGCUCAGAACGAACGCUGGCGGCGUGGAUUAGGCAUGCAAGUCGAACGGAAUUUCUAGCUUUUUCGGAAAUUCAGUGGCGAAAGGGUGAGUAACACGUGGGUAAUCUACCUAGAAGAUUGGGAUAACCUGUCGAAAGACGGGCUAAUACCGAAUGAGACCACGAUUUCUUCGGAAAUUGAGGUCAAAGAUGGGGACCGUAAGGCCUAUCGCUUUUAGAGGAGCCCGCGUCCUAUCAGCUAGUUGGUGAGGUAAUGGCUCACCAAGGCAAUGACGGGUAGCUGGCCUGAGAGGGUGGUCAGCCACAUCGGGACUGAGAUACUGCCCGGACUCCUACGGGAGGCUGCAGUCGAGAAUCUUUCGCAAUGGGGGAAACCCUGACGAAGCGACGCCGCGUGCAGGAUGAAGGCCUUCGGGUCGUAAACUGCUGUCAAUUGGGACGAAUGAUAGCGAAGUGAACAACUUUUCUAUUUGACGGUACCAGUAAAGGAAGCCACGGCUAACUCUGUGCCAGCAGCCGCGGUAAGACAGAGGUGGCUAGCGUUGUUCGGAUUCAUUGGGUGUAAAGGGUGCGUAGGCGGUUUGGAAAGUCAGAUGUGAAAGCCCACAGCUCAACUGUGGAAAUGCAUCUGAAACUUCCAGACUCGAGUGCGAGAGAGGUAAAGGGAAUUCCCGGUGUAAGGGUGAAAUCUGCAGAGAUCGGGAGGAACACCAGUAGCGAAG
rnacentral:rRNA from 1 species